rnacentral:rRNA from 1 species
AACGUGUCGCGAUGGAUGACUUGGCUUCCUAUU